GGUUGCGAUCAUACCAGCACUAAUGCACCGGAUUCCUAUCAGAACUCCGCAGUUAUGCGUGCUUAUGCGAGAGUAGUAGUAGGGAUGGGUGACCCCCUGGGAAGUCCUCGUGUUGCAACCC
rnacentral:rRNA from 1 species